rnacentral:rRNA from 1 species
UGGCAUUGCCGGGUAGCUAAGUGCGGACGGGAUAACCGCUGAAAGCAUCUAAGCGGGAAGCCCCCUUCAAGAUGAGACAUCCCUGAGGACUUGAUCCUCCUAAAGGGCUCAGCAAGACCAGCUGGUUGAUAGGUCGGAUGUGGACGCGUUGCAAGGCGUUGAGCUAACCGAUACUAAUGGCCCGUGAGGCUUGACCCU